UACAGAGGGGGCAAGCGUUGUUCGGAAUUACUGGGCGUAAAGGGCGCGUAGGCGGCCUGCUAAGUCGAACGUGAAAUCCCCGAGCUCAACUCGGGAACUGCGUCCGAUACUGACAGGCUUGAAUCCGGGAGAGGGAUGCGGAAUUCCAGGUGUAGCGGUGAAAUGCGUAGAUAUCUGGAGGAACACCGGUGGCGAAGGCGGCAUCCUGGACCGGCAUUGACGCUGAGGCGCGAAAAGCUAGGGGAGCAAACGGGG
rnacentral:rRNA from 1 species